rnacentral:rRNA from 1 species
CGGGUGCUAACGUCCGUCGUGAAGAGGGAAACAACCCAGACCGCCAGCUAAGGUCCCAAAGUCAUGGUUAAGUGGGAAACGAUGUGGGAAGGCACAGACAGCCAGGAUGUUGGCUUAGAAGCAGCCAUCAUUUAAAGAAAGCGUAAUAGCUCACUGGUCGAGUCGGCCUGCGCGGAAGAUGUAACGGGGCUAAACCAUGCACCGAAGCUGCGGCAGCGACACUAUGUGUUGUUGGGUAGGGGAGCGUUCUGUAAGCCUGCGAAGGUGUGCUGUGAGGCAUGCUGGAGGUAUCAGAAGUGCGAAUGCUGACAUAAGUAACGAUAAAGCGGGUGAAAAGCCCGCUCGCCGGAAGACCAAGGGUUCCUGUCCAACGUUAAUCGGGGCAGGGUGAGUCGACCCCUAAGGCGAGGCCGAAAGGCGUAGUCGAUGGGAAACAGGUUAAUAUUCCUGUACUUGGUGUUACUGCGAAGGGGGGACGGAGAAGGCUAUGUUAGCCGG